AUACUACUCCCUUCGCCCGAAAAUACUUAUCUUCAAAAUAGAUAAAAGGGGAUGUAUUUAGAUGUAUUUUAGUUUUAGAUAUAUAUCUUUUUAUCCAUUUGAUGACAAGUAUUUUCAGACGAAGAAAGUAGUAC
rfam:Triticum urartu cultivar G1812 contig896828, whole genome shotgun sequence.